rnacentral:rRNA from 1 species
AGAAUCAACGCUGGCGGCGUGCCUAACACAUGCAAGUCGCACGAGAAAGCGGACUUCGGUCUGUGAGUAAAGUGGCGCACGGGUGAGUAACACGUGAAUAAUCUACCUUCGAGUGGGGAAUAACUGAGAGAAAUCUUAGCUAAUACCGCAUAACACUUAUGAGUCAAAGCAGCAAUGCGCUUGAAGAGGAGUUCGCGGCAGAUUAGUUAGUUGGCGGGGUAAUGGCCACCAAGACGAUGAUCUGUAUCCGGCCUGAGAGGGCGCACGGACACACUGGAACUGAAACACGGUCCAGACUCCUACGGAGGCAGCAGUGGGGAAUUUUGCGCAAUGGGGGAAACCCUGACGCAGCAACGCCGCGUGGAGGAUGAAAUCCCUUGGGAUGUAAACUCCUUUCGAUCGGGAAGAUAAUGACGGUACCGAGAGAAGAAGCCCGGCUAACUUCGCGCCAGCAGCCGCGGUAA